UGAUACAAGAAGUCAACGACGUGUAAAUUUCUUGUCAGAUAUUGAUUCAGCAAUUUCCCCAAUUCUUGUUCGCAAACCAAUAGUUUUCUCUACUCCGUAUCCGACCCAGGUAAUUUGACAAUCUCACUAAAUGCACCUCUUCUUUAUAUUUUUCCGUUUAUACAAGUGAAGGGAUUUCAAAUAGAAGCUUCCAGCUUGAGAAAAUUAACUGGGAAAGAACCCAUAAGUCAAAAUUGGCUGAUAGCAAUCAAGAAAACAGAUAUUAGCAACAGCGACAUCUUAGAGGUUUGGUUUAUUGAGUUUGUUUGUUGGGUUUCUAUCAAUUUGCAGGGGAAUAUUGUGAACUGUAGAGCAGAAUUUGAUGUGGGCUUUUGAUGAACCCUGUCUUUUUUCACUGUAAGUUCAUACUGAAAUGGGGUUCUUCUACAUCUCAAAAGAAUUUAUUGAUUAUGUGUUUCAUUUAUUCUCAUUUUAUUGGGAUUCAUCUCUUCAUGUUAAUAGUAGAUGAUAUUAGUUUUUCUUUAGUUUGUUGGUUUGAUAUAUAUAUGUGGUGGUUCGACUUGGUUCUUGUGUUUCUGAUCUGAAUAUUUCCAAAGAGUUCUGGUUUUGCUCUGCACAAAUAUUACUCGAAUAGUUUUGCUAUACUUACAGUUUUGUUUACACUCUUUGACAUGAUACACAAUUUUAUCAUUGAUUUUAACAACACUUAUUCAAAUCAAUGGCUCAAUUUUGACACUCAAAAGGGUGUCAAAACUAGCUUAAUUCUUACUCGAAUGUAGAAUGCUUGGUGAAGAUGGCUAUAUAGGACAUGCUAUAUUAAAAGAUUCUGUUGUUCCUAAAAUUUAUUAAAGGUGGUGCAGAAAGUCUUUGUGUGUAGUAAGGAGCCUAGUAAUUUUUGUGGCAUGUAAUGUGGCCUCGAAAUUCAAAUUCAUGAAAAUCUAUUUAAGUUUAAAUAAUUUAAAAUUGUUCUAAUAGAUGAAAGUUGAGCUUGUGUGGCGCCCCUAUUUACCAUGCUCAACCAGACAUCUACUAGUGUGGUGCUUCAAAUUACCAGCAUCACCUUUUUGUUUCUGGCUCCCUUCAACCAACCUCCAAAUUAAUGUAUAGCUGUACACUUUAGUUUUCAGUUGAAAUUAACAUCUUCGACAUGAAACUAUUGCUACACUGUCGAUGUUCUUUGAAGUACCCCCAUCAAGUCCUUUUUCUCAAUUCUACCAUCAAGUCCUUUUUCUCAAUUCUAAAGACGAACCAGAGAUUGUCUCAGUCGAUUUGUUCCUUGUUUGCAUCAUGUAUCUUUUGAUACUCCACUUCCUUGAUAUAGUAGCUGCCCUUUCGUUCUACAAUGACCAGGGCAGAGCUGUCUGUGACUGACGGAACGCAAACAUCACCAUCCUCCUCCUUCUGUCCUUUUUAUUAUAAAACUUUAAUAAAUGAUGGCCAUGACUCUUUGCUAAGUACAUGGGUGUAACCUGGUCAAACCACAUUAACGCCAGCAAGAAACUAAAAAAUUCUCUAUCUUCCAAUGAACUUUUUGCACUGUUGCAACAUCUUCACUACAUUUCAUCUUAAAGUUUUGAUAAUAGUCUAAUUCAAGCCCUAUACCUUUCUUAAUCCGAUGAUACUUUUUAACAGACAUAUUUAAUAUUAUCUUGCUUGGUGGUUGAUUUUGGGUCUUUAUUGCCUAUAUUUGGGCAACAUUUAGAAUAGGUCUGACUAACAGCCUCUCAAAUUUCCCUUGCUGUUGAAAGAAAUAUGCACGUUUUGCUCACUUCUGGUUCCGUUGAAUUCCACAACCAAGUCAUGACACGGAAUCCUCAUCCCAAACUGUAAAAUUGGGGUUUUGUUCUCUUGGUGCUGAGCCUAUUUCAUGGCUUAUCUUUCUCUUCCCUUUUAGGAAUGUUUUCAAGAGCUCUGACCUGAUAAAAAAUAGUGUGCUCAUUGAGUCGAAAUGAGACUUGUAGAUUUUUGUAUUCACCUGAUGACUAUGAUGGAAUCAACAUUGCCUGGGUUGGUUUUAGGGAGUUCUGAAAUUUUUUAUUCAAGAGGAUGACAAUUCCUGGACAGGGUUGAUGAUUACCUUGUUGGCAAAGAAGGCUGUGCAGUUCUGACCAUUGAGGUCAAGUGAAAACUAGUUGAAAUUGUAAGGAAAAUCUUAGAGCUCUGAUACAAUGUGAACAGGCUGUGUAUUGUUUGAAUAACUUAUUGGUUUAGGGUUUAGAUAAAGAUCUACUAUGAAGAAACGGUGACUAAAAGAGAAAUCUGUUCCCAUAAACCAUGGGAAAGUAAGAGAAAAAAACAUUAACCAAUACGUAUAGAUAAUUCUGGUGCAGUUAAGGAAUACGUACCGAGAGGAAAGGGUUUGUCAAUAAUUUCCAUUCUCAACAAUAGUUGAAGAAAAAUCUAAUUCUUUUUUGUUGCUUUAAGAGAAUUUAUUAUUUCAAGCUGCAAUUAUUCCAUGAUUCUUUCCAAGAAGGAAUACCAUGAAUUACUUUGCUGAAGUUUUCUAAUAUGAAAAAUUACUGCAAUAUAUGAUUCUUGAUUCAUGAAAGUUGACCAACGAAA
rnacentral:lncRNA from 1 species